rnacentral:misc_RNA from 1 species
GCAAACUUGGUCAUUUAGAGGAAGUAAAAGUCGUAACAAGGUUUCCGUAGGUGAACCUGCGGAAGGAUCAUUACCGAUGUCUCCCGGAUUUAGGGGGGUCCGCCCCCCUAUUUCCGUUCGACACCACAGACCCACCCUGUGCACCUCGGAGGGCACGCCGAUGCCCUUAUGUUUUUCGAACGCCUGGUAUCGUUAGAACGUUAAUAUUUUGAUGUAAUUUCGAACACAACUUUCAACAACGGAUCUCUUGGCUCUCGCAUCGAUGAAGAACGCAGC